rnacentral:rRNA from 1 species
AUCUGAUACUGGCAAGCUUGAGUCUCGUAGAGGGGGGUAGAAUUCCAGGUGUAGCGGUGAAAUGCGUAGAGAUCUGGAGGAAUACCGGUGGCGAAGGCGGCCCCCUGGACGAAGACUGACGCUCAGGUGCGAAAGCGUGGGGAGCAAACAGGAUUAGAUACCCUGGUAGUCCACGCCGUAAACGAUGUCGACUUGGAGGUUGUGCCCUUGAGGCGUGGCUUCCGGAGCUAACGCGUUAAGUCGACCGCCUGGGGAGUACGGCCGCAAGGUUAAAACUCAAAUGAAUUGACGGGGGCCCGCACAAGCGGUGGAGCAUGUGGUUUAAUUCGAUGCAACGCGAAGAACCUUACCUGGUCUUGACAUCCACGGAAGUUUUCAGAGAUGAGAAUG